rnacentral:rRNA from 1 species
UACGUAGGGUGCGAGCGUUAAUCGGAAUUACUGGGCGUAAAGCGUGCGCAGGCGGUUUUGUAAGUCUGUCGUGAAAAUCCCCCGGGCUCAACCUGGGAAUUGCGAUGGAGACUGCAAGGCUAGAAUCUGGCAGAGGGGGGGUAGAAUUCCACGUGUAGCGGUGAAAUGCGUAGAGAUGUGGAGGAACACCGAUGGCGAAGGCAGCCCCCUGG